rnacentral:hammerhead_ribozyme from 1 species
AUCCAGCUGACGAGUCCUAAAUAAAACGAAACGCGCGUCAAACUGGAU